rnacentral:rRNA from 1 species
CCCGCUGAACUUAAGCAUAUCAAUAAGCGGAGGAAAAGAAACUAACAAGGAUUCCCCUAGUAACGGCGAGUGAAGCGGGAAGAGCUCAAAUUUGUAAUCUGGCGGUCUCCGGCCGUCCGAGUUGUAGUCUGGAGAAGCGUCUUCCGCGCCGGACCGUGUACAAGUCCCUUGGAACAGGGCGUCGUAGAGGGUGAGAAUCCCGUCCUUGACACGGACUACCGGUGCUUUGUGAUGCGCUCUCAAAGAGUCGAGUUGUUUGGGAAUGCAGCUCAAAAUGGGUGGUAAAUUCCAUCUAAAGCUAAAUAUUGGCGAAAGACCGAUAGCGAACAAGUACCGUGAGGGAAAGAUGAAAAGCACUUUGGAAAGAGAGUUAAACAGUACGUGAAAUUGUUGAAAGGGAAACGCUUGAAGUCAGUCGCGUCUUCCGGGACUCAGCCUCGCUUUUGCUUGGUGCAUUUCCCGAAUGACGGGCCAGCAUCGAUUUUGACCGUUGGAGAAAGGCUUUGGGAAUGUGGCACCUUCGGGUGUGUUAUAGCCCUCGGUCGUAUGCAACGGUUGGGAUCGAGGAUCGCAGCACGCCUUUUUGGCCGGGGUUCGCCCACGUAACGUGCUUAGGAUGCUGGCGUAAUGGCUUUAAACGACCCGUCUUGAAACACGG